rnacentral:rRNA from 1 species
GAAUAGGGCGGUACCUUGACGGUACCUAACCAGAAAGCCACGGCUAAGUACGUGCCAGCAGCCGCGGUAAUACGUAGGUGGCAAGCGUUGUCCGGAAUUAUUGGGCGUAAAGCGCGCGCAGGCGGUUUCUUAAGUCUGAUGUGAAAGCCCCCGGCUCAACCGGGGAGGGUCAUUGGAAACUGGGGAACUUGAGUGCAGAAGAGGAGAGUGGAAUUCCACGUGUAGCGGUGAAAUGCGUAGAGAUGUGGAGGAACACCAGUGGCGAAGGCGACUCUCUGGUCUGUAACUGACGCUGAGGCGCGAAAGCGUGGGGAGCGAACAGGAUUAGAUACCCUGGUAGUCCACGCCGUAAACGAUGAGUGCUAAGUGUUAGAGGGUUUCCGCCCUUUAGUGCUGCAGCAAACGCAUUAAGCACUCCGCCUGGGGAGUACGGUCGCAAGACUGAAACUCAAAGGAAUUGACGGGGGCCCGCACAAGCGGUGGAGCAUGUGGUUUAAUUCGAAGCAACGCGAAGAACCUUACCAGGUCUUGACAUCCUCUGACAACCCUAGAGAUAGGGCUUCCCCUUCGGGGGCAGAGUGACAGGUGGUGCAUGGUUGUCGUCAGCUCGUGUCGUGAGAUGUUGGGUUAAGUCCCGCAACGAGCGCAACCCUUGAUCUUAGUUGCCAGCAUUCAGUUGGGCACUCUAAGGUGACUGCCGGUGACAAACCGGAGGAAGGUGGGGAUGACGUCAAAUCAUCAUGCCCCUUAUGACCUGGGCUACACACGUGCUACAAUGGGCAGAACAAAGGGCAGCGAAGCCGCGAGGCUAAGCCAAUCCCACAAAUCUGUUCUCAGUUCGGAUCGCAGUCUGCAAC